GGACAGAUGGCCGAGCUGGUUAUGGCGCCAGGUUAAGGUAAUACCACAAUUCCUGGUCACGAAAGUGGCGUGGGUUCGAGUCCCACUCUGUUCA
rnacentral:tRNA from 1 species